rnacentral:lncRNA from 1 species
UUAAAUUUUAUAAAUAGAGGAAAAACAACAUGAUUCACCUAUCCAUAGGCCAGUGAGACCAAAAAGUUAACCUUUUUAAAGAGAAAUGGGCCAAACCAAAGCAAUCAAGCCCAACACCGUAUAAACCAAAAUACAAUGCCCCAACGGACAAAACCCAAAGCACCCUUUCGUCGGAAGCUUCCUUCGUCAGAUGGUAGGUGGGUGACGUGACAAUUAGAUGAGAACGAGAGAGGAGAAAAGCUCGGGGUCUUCCAUGGGAGUUGUGUAGGAGAGAGAGGUGCGUCCUUCACUGAGCAGAGAAGCAAAUGGAGGGUGGAAGAGAAGAAGAAGAAAACGGAGAACAGAGGUAAACACUAAAAGAACUCGUCUUGCUUUUGAGAAAAUAAUUUCGUAUUGCUCUGUGUUGAAUGUGUUACAUUAUUCGAAGAAAAGAAAAGAAAAGGAACUCUAUUUAUAGAGUUCGAGACAGUAAAAAAAGGAAAAACUAUGAAAAACUAACUACUAACAGAAAAGGGGUGUGAUUACCGUAUGUAGACAGUAAUCCCCCGAACAAUAACUUCCAAUAGCCUCCCCUCAAGCUGUGUGGUCGAUGGUCACCAGUCCAAGCUUGCUAACAAUAGAUCGGAACCUAACACGGUGAGGAAACUUGGUAAAAAUGUCCGCGAGCUGCUCAU